rnacentral:tRNA from 1 species
GCCAGUUUGGCUCAGGGGAUAGAGCAUCAGCCUGUGGACUGAAGGGUCCUGGGUUCAAUUCCCAUCAGUGGUA